UUGCGUUGUGUACGUACAUAUGAAACAUUGGAAACGUUAGAGAGAAGAUUAGCACGGCCCCCUUGUGCAAGGAUGACACGCAAUUUGACUUGUUUCCACAAGUUGAU